rnacentral:rRNA from 1 species
GAUGAACGCUGGCGGCAUGCCUAAUACAUGCAAGUCGAACGAGAGGAAGGAAAGCUUGCUUUUCUGAAUCUAGUGGCGAACGGGUGAGUAACACGUAGGUAACCUGCCCAUGUGCCCGGGAUAACUUCUGGAAACGGAUGCUAAAACCGGAUAGGUAACAGACAAGCAUUUGACUGCUAUUAAAGCGGCUAAGGCCAUGAACAUGGAUGGACCUGCGGUGCAUUAGCUAGUUGGUGAGGUAACGGCCCACCAAGGCGACGAUGCAUAGCCGGCCUGAGAGGGCGGACGGCCACAUUGGGACUGAGACACGGCCCAAACUCCUACGGGAGGCAGCAGUAGGGAAUUUUCGUCAAUGGGGGGAACCCUGAACGAGCAAUGCCGCGUGAGUAAGGAAGGUCUUCGGAUCGUAAAGCUCUGUUGUAAGAGAAAAACGACAUUCAUAGGGAAUGAUGAGUGAGUGAUGGUAUCUUACCAGAAAGUCACGGCUAACUACGUGCCAGCCGCCGCAGUAA